GUAAGGGGGAUUUGUUUGAUUGACAUGCUGGCCUCGUGGUGAAUGCUAGAAAGAGGAGGUGGAGCCAGUUCCCCCUCCUCUUUGGCGCCUGGCUGAUUGCGGAUGCCGGCUGACUCGCGGUGUCUAUGUUCUAUGAGAGCUGCGAUUUCCUAUUGGGCUUUAUCAGCCUGUACCGUGAGGAGGAGUAUCUGUGGCUGACGUCCUCACCAGACUACAGCAACAAAAAGAAGAGGGAGGCUGCUUAUAACUGCCUGGUGGAGUAUUCCAAGCCCACCUUCUUUGCGGCCUUGGUCGCCUGGGUCCGGAAGAAAAUUGCCAAAAAUUGUAAAAGAGAACCGCAAGGUGGAGGAUUCCAAGAGGUCAGGGGCUGGUGCAGACAAGGUGUAUGUGCCACAGCUAUGGUACUACCAAGAAUUAAACUUCCUCCUGGAGAAACAGUCAACUAAGGUGUUCCUAGUGGUGAUGGCAGAGGACCUCAUUCCGAGUUGAUCGCUAGCUGCCAUUGUUCGCUGUGUAGCGAUCAUUUAAAAAAACGGCAAAACUGUGCAUGCGUAUGCCCCGCAAUGCGCGCACAUGACGUACGGGUACAAUGAGCAUCGUGGUUUUACACAGGUUCUAGCAACGCUUUCAGUCGCACUGGCAGACGCAGAGAGAUUGACAGGAAGUGGGAGUUUCUGGAUGUAAAUUGACCAUUUUCUGGGAGUGAUUGGAAAAAUUUGCUGGGCGGGUAUCUGACAUCAUUACCAUGUCAUUCGUCGCAGAAAUCAUUGCACAGAAUAAGUAACUACAGGGCUGGUCUUGUUCUGCACAAAAUGUGUUUGCAGCCGCUCUGCUGCACAGGCGUUCGCACUCCUGCUAUGCUAAAAUACACUCACCUGUGGGCGGCGACUAUGCGUUUGCUCGGCGGCUAAAAGUAGCUAGCGAGCGAUCAACUUGGAAUGAGGACCAGAGUCCGAGGAGGGAAGUCUGGAUGUGGUGGAGGCCGAAGGGACACCUGAAGACCUUAGCCGUACCCCUGACCUCAACAACACAUCACCAAAGGAACCAAAAUCUCCACAGCUACAGGGUACCAGGAAGAAGCAACAGAAAACCAAAUUUGUUGAAGACCCGCUACAAUUGGAGGCCCGUUUACAGCUGCUCUGGAAACCUGAUGAAUUUGAUGACUUUGCGUCACAUGUUAGCAAAACUAUGCGUAAGGUUUCCAAGCAACAGCAAGUAGAGUGCCAGCGCCUGGUGUCACAGGUUUUGUACAAAACACUCACAGGACAACUGACACCAGAGUGGAACGUUCAUGGGCCAGAACCUCAAGCACCUGCUCCUCAUCUCCCAUUGACCUUCAAUUCACACCCACCUACUCUUCCUCCAGUACCCAUCCUCUUCCGCAUCCCAGUUACCAUUCCGGUUAUCUGCGACCGCAGACCCCAUCCACCUACCCUUCCUCCACUGUCCAUCCUCCUUAAAUCCCUCCUCCUCAAACCAGCCACCCUUCCCGUUAUCGUCAACCCCCACCCCCAUCCACCCACCCUUCCCCACUAUCCAAUCUCCUCCUCACCCCAUCUACCCUUCCAAGCCUCUUUCAAAUGUAGGGUGAUUCUCAUUCACUGCUGCCCUUGUUAUACAUACCAACAGAUAUGGUGCAUUCUGAUACUACGGUGAGUGUCAAUGCUUUCAGGUGGACAAUACACACAUACUGCUAGGGACAGGUUAAUGGUACCUGGGACCCAUCUUCCUGCCCCUAGCUGCAUGUGUGCAUUGCGCCCCUGGCACCUGUGACACUCUACUCCGUAGUAUCAGAAUGCACAACAUCUGUUGGUAUAUAUAAAAUUGCUGCAGCCCUGGUAUAUAUUGCGAUAGUUCUGGUGCACUAUGAUAUACGUCAUUUUAGUGGCAGCGCUUUCAGGUGGACAAUGCACACAUGCAGCUUGGGUCAGGUUGAAGGUGCCGGGAAGCCUGAAGCCGGGCCUACCUGCAUGUGUGCAUUGUGCCCCUGAAAGUGCUGUCACUCAAAAAACACUGUAUAUCAUACUGCACCAUAUUUAUAUUCAAUAUUUUAAUUUGAAGAAAAAGUUCAGCCAUGUUGGCCGCAUAUUACUAAAAUACUUAUGUUUGUAUAUAUAUAUAUAUAUAUAUAUACAAUUAUAUUUUUGGUUCACAAAUGUAUUAAUGCACUUCUAUAUUGCAGCAGAUGUGGUGCAUUCUGAUACUACGGCGUUGAGUGGCACCACAGCCAGGAACCGGGGACCCAUCUUCCUACCACAAGCUGUAUGUGUGCAUUGUGCCCCUGGCUGCGGUGCAACUCAACACAUAGUAUCAGAAUGUACUUGUGCUUUGACUACUCCACUAGGCGGUUAAAGGCAGUCUCUCUCUUCUGUUUGUUCAGUCACCCACCGGCACUCUUCCUCACGGUAGAGUCUGAAAUCAUGUGCCACUACCACCAUAUCUCAUACUGCACCAGAUGCUACUAUAAAGAUCCUGUUUGAAAAAGUUCAGCCAUGUUGGCUGCAUAUUUAUAAAAAUAGUUAUAUUUUGAUAUAGAGAUAUAUAUAUAUAUAUAUAUAUAUAUAUAUAUAUAUAUAUAUAUAUAUAUAUGGCAUUUUUUUACGUUUCAAAUAUGUAAUGCUGCCCUCGCUAUAUAUAGCAACAGAUAUGGUGCAUUCUGAUACUACAAUGUUGAGUUGCACCGCUACCAGGGGCACAAUGCACACAUGCAACUUGGUGCAGGUUGAUGGUACUGGGGACCCAUCUUCAUACCCCAAGUUGCAUGUGUGCAUUGUGCCCCUGGCUGUGGUGCCACUCAAUGGUGUAGUAUCUGAAUGCACCACAUUUGUCGCUAUAUAUAGCUUUUUUUUUAUUAUUUCAUAAAUGUUAUGAUGCAGAUGUGCUGCAUUAUGAAAAUUUAUACUGUUUGCUAAAGUUUAACCAUGUUGGCCACAUAUUUAAUAAAGGUAGGUCUUGAAAUAAAAAGCACAUAUUUUUUCUGCCAAGUUCAGUUUGCAAAAUAAAACAUUUUGU